CAUGGAGAGCCUCUGCUGGGGCAAUGUGGAAGGGAAAUGUGGAGUUAAAGGCCCCACACAGAGUCCCAACUGGGGCACUGCCUAGUAUAAUUGUGAGAAG